UAUUAAGCCAUUCACCUCCAAUUACUUAUCUCGUCGGUUCUGCGACUCUUUAAAAUAUUUUUGUUAUCAAACAAUGUGUCAUAUUGCGAGAAUAAAGGCAUUUAUUCCGUUUCAAAAGCUUUUGUGUAAAUUUUAAAACGCAUUUAGGUGUCAAAUUUAUCAAUCGUUCAAAAAUGACUAAUACCAUUAGAUACCUUUUUCUUCUUUCACGGUUGCAAGAAAUUCCGCAUAUAAAGACUUUGGUUUGAGGUAAUUUAAAAGCACAACUAUUCUUUGAGCUGGUGAAGAAAGUUUUAAAAAAAGUACACGAUGUCGCGAUUUAUUGUUUUUUCAUUCGUUUUCGUUGCUGCGAUCUUGUUCUCGAGCUUUUUAUUGGUUGAGGUUUCGGCUGAACCGACAAAUCCUGUGUUAUUUUGGAUCAGAGAAUUCGCAGCAUAUGCUUAUUAUUUUAAUUCAUUUAUUGGACAACAAUUUGAAUACAUCAAUCCACCAGUAUCGAAAUUUUUUUACAAUAUAGCGUAUUUUUGGUUAGCUGUUGUUAAUUAUGGAGUUGGGCCACAAGCACGUCAAUAAGAUUGUUGACGGUUGAAUUGCACAAAGCACUCACAUCUUGUACAGUAGUUUAAUCAACAUUACUAAAACGAAUACUUACGUGGAUUCGGGAUUCAAUUUAUUUUAGAGUAUUUGAUAACGAUUUUUAUAUUAAUUUUAUACGAAUUAAUGGACAAAUAAUCGUAGGGUGUGGAUUUUUUCAAAUGGAAAUAUUAAUUUUUUGAAUAAAAAUGUGAAUUAAAAAAAUGCUCACAGCUCACCAAUGAUUCUUCAAGACCGAAAUGAAAAUUUGAAAAUUUAUAUGAGUUGAUAGGGACCUAAUAUGAUUGCUCUAGUUAUCUGGGAACAUUGAACACGUUCGCGAACACCCUGUCCAACUUGAAAUCCGUACCUAAUUUUGACGAGUAGAUAGGUAAGUAUAUCCUAUAGAAAAAAAUUCGCAAAAAUUGUAUAACGACACGAGACAUCUUUUAUUAACGGAACAACCGGUUGCGAAUAUUUCGCGCCAAAUCAGUGUGACCUCAAAGGAGAAAACAAUUUGCAAUGUCGUCAGUAUUGGAACGAAAUAAAAAGGGUGAAAAUUAUAUUGGAAAAAUUGUGAUUUUACGAGAGAUAAUAGAGCCCAUUUCAAUGAUCAAGUCAGACUCAAAAUUGAAAAUUGACCAAGUAAGUACGUGAAGAAGAGAUCUGAUCUGACCAAGGAUGUUGCCACACUGACUAUGAGAAAUAAUUUCACCAAUCUCACCUCAUUCAUGCUUCCUAUGACCGGAUUUAUUGUGAUUUUUUACACAUCAUCUUCUUCGCGUACCUAAACCUAUACACAUUCUAUCUACGUAUUAGGACAAGUGAAAUAUAUCGGCAUAAUACAUAUUACUUUUAAUCGUUCGUUGAUCAGUGAAACGAAUUAGAGUUCAGGUGACAAAAUUCGAAAAAUGCGACUAUUGUUUAUUUUUUUAUCGAUCCCUUGUGUAAUCCUAGCAUUGCCUACUUCACCCACGACUCGGGGUGAAAAUCGGUUCGUGGAGUUUAUAAAAGGCAUUCCAGCAGCCGGUGCAGUUUACUUUCAUGGAUUAAGUCAAAUAACCCAAUCGAUUCCAAUAAUUCCUCAAGUAUUCCAAGGAAUAUCCAAUGGGUUUUAUGGUAUUUUUGUGGUCGAACAAAUGAUCCUGCCGGAAAAAAAUCAGCUCGCCAAAUCUUCAGGAUUUUGAUGAGUUUUAAAAAAUAAUUAACUAUAAUUACCUACUCUAAGCAGGAUCGUCGAGAGCUAUAAUGCGAGCUCUGAGUAAAUAUAAUUUGGCCCCAUUUGUAGGGACGAAACAGAAGUUUUUGAGAGAGAGAGGAGGAGGGAGAUUCAAUUGAAAAUUUGCCAUCUGUUACAGGGAGAAAAUACCAAUUUUGCCAAGUGAUAUCAUUAUUCAUAUGACAUAAAAAUGUUCAUUUUAUGUUUUGGAUUUUUGGGGGCCCAAAUCUGAAUUUUUUCAUUUUAAAAUAAGAAAACCAUUGGCCCAAGCGAAGCAAGGACGAAAGUUUUUGAAAAUUUGACUUCGAGAGUCCUAAAAACGAUGUUUUUUAGAAAUUUCAAUUUUGAAAAAUAAAUAAAAACAAGCUCGAGCGAAGCGAGGACUUGAGAAGCAAAAAAAUAGGGUUUUCUUUCAUCACAUACCCUUCUUUCUCGGGGAAUACGGUCCCUUUUGCCCCCCUCUCGACGAUCCUGACUCGUGGUUUAGUAUUAUGAAACAAGUGCAGGUAUAAU